UUCAUCUCUGCUGAAAGACAUUCUUUAGUCAUGUUAUGUACCUAACAUGUACCUACAGCCUUUCCCUUUCAAGCCCUUUCUGAUUCUGACCUUAGUCUGAGACAGCAAUUUGGAUCAGCUCCACUUAAAAUGGGAUCUGUUUAUACUUCCCUCUUUUAAUCAGCCUCAGAGUGAAACUGGAAUGGAAUGCAUAAUCCAUUUAAUGAUGCCAAUGUUUGCCAGUCUGUCUCACCAGCUUGAGUCCAUGGAAGAGAUAAUUUUGAAGUAAAAAAUGUUACUCCAUUUACUAAGCAAACAGAGGGAGAAUCAAAUGGAAACUAAUGAUGUGGAAACCAGUGUUGUCAAGGCUGUGAUGAGCUUCAUCUACGAGGUGGGGAAGCUCCUCCAUCUGACAAAAUGGCAGAUGACUUGAGUAGGUUCUGACAAUGCCAGGGUCCUGUGCCUUGUGGCAAUGUUCUGCUCAAAUUAGACCACCUAGGGAUUGCAGUUCCAAACCAAAGCUGUUUUAAAUCUUUCACUCGCUUGCUGCUGUAUUCCUUUGUCAGCUUCAUAACAUAUUAACUUUUUUUAUAUGCACUUUCUUUAUCUGACCUUUUAAGAACAAUAAAGUUUAUAGCAUCCAAAUAAAUGUUUCA
rnacentral:lncRNA from 13 species